GCCCCUGGGCCUAUCCUAGAAC
rnacentral:ncRNA from 5 species